UUGGAUAUGAUGAAGAAUUUGAUGAUUGAGCUCUAUCAUGUGAUGACUCAUAUAUUCGUACUGUCUGAUUCAG